AAUUGCAGCACAUUCAUGGCUCCAAGUUCAGUUCUUUUUGCCCUUUGCCUUUUAUUUUUGGUAACAGCCGACGGAAGGAGAUUAUCGCAGGCGCGCGUUGACAGCGUUUCAGCCUCAUAUACGACGGCCACAACCUAUUACUAUGACGUAAGUGGAUUAAUAACAGUGAA